UGAAAGUUAAUUGAUUCACUGCAUUAAUAUUAAUAUUUGUUUUAAUGUGCAGUUUAUUAACUUUCGGUUGUACACCAUAUGAGUUAUUUUCCGCUCAUUAAUUGAAAAUAUUUUAUUUGGUUGUGGCUUUAAGGUACCAGCUUCUCAUGAGCUCAGCCUCUAUGGAGCCAUCCAUGAUGAGGUCUCCAAACCCUUGUAUGUUAUUUGGGAUCGUGGCUGGUUGUGUUUCCUUUCAUUGCUUAUUUUUACUAGUAUUAAUGUUCUUUUUCUUUGAACUUGUUGAAAGUAUGAAUGAUCAGUUACACAUUGGAUUAAAAAAUAGGCGAGACAAGUGAUUUAUGAGAGAAAUCCGCAUAUUUACUCGUACUAUCAGGACUUCCUUACACGACAAGGAAAUGGAAAUCUUGAGAAAGAAAAAUGAAAUUAAAUUUUAUUUUCAUCACUUCUGUAUAGUUCAGUUUGCUGUAAGCAAAAACAAAUAUGUUAGGGACACAAACCAGUUUUGCUGUAAAUGCAUUAUACCGACACUAUAUUAUUAUAGGGAAGUAGUAAGUUAGUAACAAUAAAUAACAAUAUUGAGCUCAAUGAGCCAGAUAAUUUAAAUGCGUACAAUCAAAAUUUCUUAACGAUGUUAGUCAUCGAGCCUGAAAGAAAAGAAAAAAAAAACAAGAUGUGUUGAAAUUUUUAAGGUUGAAUUUUGACUCACCGAUGCAGUUUAAUGGCAUCAUGAGCUCAACCUCUACCAAGCCAUCCAUGAUGAGGUCUCCAAACCACCACUCCUCAAGCAUACCGUUGUCGGAAGGGGACUUGUAGCAGUGGCGCGUGAAUAUGACGGGGAUGGUUGGGAAGAAUUGGAGCAAAACAAUAAUGAUGAAAAGAUAUAUUAACAAGAAUUACAAUGAAAAUCCC
rnacentral:lncRNA from 1 species